AGUCACUGACAUUAGACUACCCCGGUAGUCCCAGCCGUAAACUAUGCGCGUUAGGUGUAUCGGUGACCACGAGUUACCGAGGUGCCGAAGGGAAACCGUGAAACGUGCCGCCUGGGAAGUACGGUCGCAAGGCUGAAACUUAAAGGAAUUGGCGGGGAGCACCACAACGGGUGGAGCCUGCGGUUUAAUUGGACUCAACGCCGGGAAGCUCACCAGAUAAGACAGCGGAAUGAUUGCCGGGCUGAAGACUCUGCAUGACUAGCUG
rnacentral:rRNA from 1 species